rnacentral:rRNA from 1 species
GAUGAACGCUGGCGGCGUGCCUAAUACAUGCAAGUCGAGCGAACAGACGAGGAGCUUGCUCCUCUGACGUUAGCGGCGGACGGGUGAGUAACACGUGGAUAACCUACCUAUAAGACUGGGAUAACUUCGGGAAACCGGAGCUAAUACCGGAUAAUAUAUUGAACCGCAUGGUUCAAUAGUGAAAGACGGUUUUGCUGUCACUUAUAGAUGGAUCCGCGCCGCAUUAGCUAGUUGGUAAGGUAACGGCUUACCAAGGCAACGAUGCGUAGCCGACCUGAGAGGGUGAUCGGCCACACUGGAACUGAGACACGGUCCAGACUCCUACGGGAGGCAGCAGUAGGGAAUCUUCCGCAAUGGGCGAAAGCAUGACGGAGCAACGCCGCGUGAGUGAUGAAGGUCUUCGGAUCGUAAAACUCUGUUAUUAGGGAAGAAAAAAUGUGUAAGUAACUAUGCACGUCUUGACGGUACCUAAUCAGAAAGCCACGGCUAACUACGUG